rnacentral:tRNA from 1 species
CGGAGUGUAGCUCAGCUUGGUAGAGCACCACGUUCGGGACGUGGGGGCCGAAGGUUCGAAUCCUUUCACUCCGACCA